rnacentral:rRNA from 1 species
CCUACGGGAGGCUGCAGUGGGGAAUAUUGGACAAUGGGGGGAACCCUGAUCCAGCCAUGCCGCGUGUGUGAAGAAGGCCCUCGGGUUGUAAAGCACUUUCAGUGAGGAAGAACGCCUGGUGGUUAAUACCCAUCAGGAAAGACAUCACUCACAGAAGAAGCACCGGCUAACUCCGUGCCAGCAGCCGCGGUAAUACGGAGGGUGCGAGGUUAAUCGGAAUUACUGGGCGUAAAGCGCGCGUAGGUGGCUUGAUAAGCCGGUUGUGAAAGCCCCGGGCUCAACCUGGGAACGGCAUCCGGAACUGUCAAGCUAGAGUGCAGGAGAGGAAAGUAGAAUUCCCGGUGUAGCGGUGAAAUGCGUAGAGAUCGGGAGGAAUACCAGUGGCGAAGGCGGCCUUCUGGACUGACACUGACACUGAGGUGCGAAAGCGUGGGUAGCAAACAGGAUUAGAUACCCUUGUAGUC